ACGAACGCUGGCGGCGUGCUUCACACAUGCCAGUCGAACGGUGAAGCGCCUUCCUUUUUGGUGGGUGUGGAUGAGUGGCGAACGGGUGAGUAACACGUGAGUAACCUGCCCCCUUCUUCUGGAUAACCGCAUGAAAGUGUGGCUAAUACGGGAUAUUCUGGGUCUGUCGCAUGAUGGGUCUGGGAAAGAUAUUGUUUCGGUGGGGGAUGGGCUCGCGGCCUAUCAGCUUGUUGGUGGGGUGAUGGCCUACCAAGGCGGUGACGGGUAGCCGGCCUGAGAGGGUGGACGGUCACACUGGGACUGAGACACGGCCCAGACUCCUACGGGAGGCAGCAGUGGGGAAUAUUGCACAAUGGGCGCAAGCCUGAUGCAGCGACGCCGCGUGAGGGAUGGAGGCCUUCGGGUUGUGAACCUCUUUCGCCAGUGAAGCAGGCCUGCCUCGUUUGUGGGUGGGUUGACGGUAGCUGGAUAAGAAGCGCCGGCUAACUACGU
rnacentral:rRNA from 1 species